rnacentral:rRNA from 1 species
GACGAACGCUGGCGGCGUGCCUAAUACAUGCAAGUCGAACGCAUUUUCUUUCACCGUAGCUUGCUACACCGAAAGAAAAUGAGUGGCGAACGGGUGAGUAACACGUGGGUAACCUGCCCAUCAGCGGGGGAUAACACUUGGAAACAGGUGCUAAUACCGCAUAAUUCCAUUUACCGCAUGGUAGAUGGAUGAAAGGCGCUUUUGCGUCACUGAUGGAUGGACCCGCGGUGCAUUAGCUAGUUGGUGGGGUAACGGCCUACCAAGGCUGCGAUGCAUAGCCGGCCUGAGAGGGUGAUCGGCCACACUGGGACUGAGACACGGCCCAGACUCCUACGGGAGGCAGCAGUAGGGGAGCUUCGGCAAUGGACACAAGUCUGGCCGAGCAACGCCGCGGGAGUGAAGAAGGUUUUCGGAUCGUAAAACUCUGUUGUUAGGGAAGAACAAGAAUGAGAGUGGAAAGUUCAUCCCUUGACGGUAUCUAACCAGAAAGCCACGGCUAACUACGUG